rnacentral:misc_RNA from 1 species
CUCACUUACUUGGCGGAGUAGUAGUCCAAGAAGGACGGGAGCAGGCGACCGAAGAAUCCAAACGAGGACGACAGCGAGACCAGCGUGGAAGUCUGCCCGAGCCGUCGCGACUCGGCUAUCUGUCCAAGGUUGUUCAGGAACACCAGGCCCAGGGUGCCACUGAACAUGUAGCUGAAGAAGUAGAGCCAGAAGUCCAGCUUCCUCAGCAGCCGGAGGCCGCCGAUCUCCUCCCGUGGUUUCUCCGAGACGCCGCCGUCUCCCUCUCCCUCCUUGCUCUCGGGGCCGGCACCGCCCACGUCGACGACGACGCCUGCGCCAGCGCCCGCGUCGUCGUCGGCGCCGA